GAUGAACGCUAGCUACAGGCUUAACACAUGCAAGUCGAGGGGAAACGGCAUUUAGUGCUUGCACUGAAUGGACGUCGACCGGCGCACGGGUGAGUAACGCGUAUCCAACCUUCCCAUUACUGUGGGAUAACCUGCCGAAAGGCAGACUAAUACCGCAUAGUCUUCGAUGACGGCAUCAGAUUUGAAGUAAAGAUUUAUCGGUAAUGGAUGGGGAUGCGUCUGAUUAGCUUGUUGGCGGGGUAACGGCCCACCAAGGCAACGAUCAGUAGGGGUUCUGAGAGGAAGGUCCCCCACAUUGGAACUGAGACACGGUCCAAACUCCUACGGGAGGCAGCAGUGAGGAAUAUUGGUCAAUGGACGAGAGUCUGAACCAGCCAAGUAGCGUGCAGGAUGACGGCCCUAUGGGUUGUAAACUGCUUUUGUAUGGGGAUAAAGUCAAUCACGUGUGAUUGUUUGCAGGUACCAUACGAAUAAGGACCGGCUAAUUCCGUGCCAGCAGCCUCGGUAAUACGGAAGGUCCGGGCGUUAUCCGGAUUUAUUGGGUUUAAAGGGAGCGUAGGCCGGAGAUUAAGUGUGUUGUGAAAUGUAGACGCUCAACGUCUGACUUGCAGCGCAUACUGGUUUCCUUGAGUACGCACAACGUUGGCGGAAUUCGUCGUGUAGCGGUGAAAUGCUUAGAUAUGACGAAGAACUCCGAUUGCGAAGGCAGCUGACGGGAGCGCAACUGACGCUUAAGCUCGAAGGUGCGGGUAUCGAACAGG
rnacentral:rRNA from 1 species